UGAUCAAACUGAGGAAAAUUGAUGCACUUGUUGUUUAAUAUCUUAAGUUACCAUGUCAGUACCGUGGAUAAAUGAGUCAGUACCGUGGAACUCAAAAUCCGACAUUUGUGUCUUGCUCGUGAUACUUUGAAGUUGUAGUAAAUUCCUCUUAGAGUUUUAUUUUUACAGUAAAAUAGAUGAAUAAUAUGCAUAAAAAAGUUAGAAAAGUUAAAUUUUAAAAUCUUGAAAUUUUGAAUACAAAAAAUCACAGUUAGAACGGAAUCACCCAUUAAUAAUAUAUUUCGAUGAAUUUAUCAAAAUUUAAAUCUUCGUCUAUAUCUCCUCAAUGCAAUUGAAUGUAUUGAAAAUUUUAACUAUCUACCAUUCCUCUUAUUUACAAAACAUGAUGCACAUUCUGUACAAGGUGUACAUCAAGAUAUUUUGCAUAGUACGCACUCGCACACAAAUUGUUUACAAUGUAUAGUAAAUUAUUUCUGUGUAUUUAGUCUAAUGUAAAGCACAAUAAACUAAAACAAGGUUCAUCGAUUAAAUAUUUAGUAGGCAUCAAAAUUCACAUUGUAUGUUCAACAUUUUGGAAAACAAAUAUGAAAAAAGCGAUCAUUAUUAUUUUUUCUAAAAUAUAACCCAUAAUAAUGUUCAAUUAACAUUUAUUUUCUAUGUCGUGAUUGUAUAUGCGAAAAACUCUUUUGAAAAUUGAAUAUUGAAGUUGACGGCUCGGAAUAGGUCUUAAACAAUAAAAUAGAAAUUUGAUUGACCCACAACAUCAAUCAAGACAAAUUUAAAUGCAAGUUAUAUGAUUAGAAAGUUGUUGAUAACAAAAAGAUUCUACGUUAAACGAGUUUUCAUUAAAUUUCUGGCUUACUGGUAAUAAUACCUAUCCAAAACUAACCAGGUAGCUAUUCUAGACGUAUAAGUCUUGAUUUCACUUACAAGCUCCAGAUGUUCGCAGUAGAGUACGAAGGAGACUUGUGAUGAAGAUAUACUAGCGGUCAAAACUUUUUGCUCACUCCAUAAUCCAUUCAAAAUAAUACAUUUUAACAUUAUCAAGCAAAUUCGAAUGGUGUCCCUACUUAUUGCAGUUUUUGGUCAUCCCCAACUCUAGUCGUCGGUCAAUAUGAUACAGCCACGUUUGAAUUUAGCUGCCCAAAAUUUUGCGAUAGUAACUGACGGCAGCUGAAUGCUCAAUCUUUUCCUUUUCAAGAAAUAUCUUCAAAACAAUCCACUUAUACGAUUGUCAAAUAAGCUUCAAACAAAGCUGAAACUUCUGUAGGUGUUUCCAUCGCAAUAUUCAACCGUUUAACUUGUUGAUCGACAGCGCCUCCCACUUAACAAUUCUCCUUUAAACGAUCGAUGCAACUUGUUGCAUAUUGUAUGUACCGUUGAAUUCACAAUCCCGAGAAUAAAUCAAAAUUUCAUAAAGGUUCAAACAAAAACUAUGAUUUCUAGUGAAAAUCGACAUUUUUACUUGAAAAAUUGAAGUUUACAAAGAGCAGUUAUCACUGAGAGACGGAUCUGGAGAAUACGCUGGAUGGUAUGUCGUCUGCUUAAUAUGAUGAGCGCCUGGAUUAUUGUUUUUGAUCAGCAGAGAUUGUCAGAAAGCUUCUGGACUAUUCACAUUCAAAUUAAUCCCUUUUUUAACUUGAUGGGUAUAUAAAAAAGCUUUAAAGUAAACACUAAAGAACAAAACGUUAACGGGAAAGGGUACACCAUUUUUUGGUACUAUAACGACAAAACUGACUAAAAAGAUAUAAAUUGGUCUUUGCAGGAAGACCUGAUUCAGCUACUUUGGUCUUUUAUUAGAGGAUAUAGGAAAUUUUAAAUUUAUUGUAAGGAUGCGACCGAGAUUAUUUCACAGAAAUUAUCAAAAUACGUUAAUAUACAAUGUAAAUAUUGAUGCCUACAUCUGGCAAUAACUUGGAACGUUUUACUUUUUGAUUUAUGUAACAAAGUAAAUUACAAAAUUGUAAAUAAGAAUAAAGAAAUUUAGGCCUCUUUUUAAAAUAAAUGUUGAGUAAAAAUACAUUAGAUUAAACAUCAAGAAAAUCAUCCAAGCUUCAAAAGUAAUCGUCCUCCUCCUCGUCAUCUAUGAUGAUGUCUUUUUCAUCAGCUAUACUCCAAAACCAUUUUCCAAAGUAUUUCAAUUACUGUACCAUAGAAUAUUUGAGUUAAGGUCACUCCAGGUAGAACGAACUCUUCAAGGACAACUCCGAAGCACCAGGAUAACCUCGUAUUUCGUUUCGGGGUCGUACUUUCAAAUAUAGGAUGUUGUUUUGGCUUUUUUGUAAGGUUUUUCUGAUCCAGUUAUCUACAGAGGUUUUUCAUCGCUAACCUUGAGUUAUAAUCUGCUUGACGAUUAACGUUUAGUUCGUUUGCAAUCACUCGAAUCGUUAACUAAAGAUAUUGGUGAAAUCCCCUUAUCUAUUGAUCUCCUUCCUUGUCUUCCACGCUUUCAAUACUCUCUUUGAACAUUUUCUAGCAACGAGACAAUUGUCCACGUCUCAUAGAAUCACCUCCAAACAGUUUUAGUACUUUACUAUAAGUUUUAGUCGCCGUAUCGUAAAAAAAUGAUCUGUAGCUGGAAAAAAUAAGUAUGGAUAGGCAUAUUAUACACAAGAAGUUAGUGUUUGAAUAGAACCAUGCGUUGUUUAAGUCCAAAGGGCUUCGUCUUUAACUUUCCUCCAUUUCUCGUUUAUAUCUUUUCAGCUAAAGAUGAAACUGUUCAUCAUAUUUACGAGUUUUUAAACAAUAAAUACCAUGAGUUGUAUCUUAUUUUCGAUGAAGAAAUUGGAGCUGCUGCAUUUAGCUUUUUACUUCCAACGAUUAAUACAAUAGUUGUGUACAAAACAGUCUCAAAAUAAACAAAAAACUUUGUUGUAUACAUACUGUAACCUCGUAAAUAGUUCAAACGUGUGUUUUUUUAGCAAAACAAAGUGAAGCGUUCUAAAUAAUGAUAACUAUUUGUGAAUAGGCAUUGUUCCCAAAGAAAAACGGCAAAUAUUGAAAACGUAUACGUAAUAUAUCUCGUUUACACUGAGAAAAAUUCCAUCUUCUCAUUUUCCAUGAUAUAUUUCUAUCUUUGUAGAUUGUAUAGUGUGCUUACGUACGUAGUCUAUGGUACAGUGAAGUAGUUUGCAUGAAAUAUCGUGAAUUAUAUUAUUUUUACGUGAUGGAUAAUAAUUUUUAGAAAAUUUUUUCAUAAAACUUUCAUGAUGUACGUUUACGAGGGCGUUUUGACUUUCUCAAUUGUUGACAUCUGUCAAAAGAAUUCCAAUAACAUCUAGAUCCAAAUUUCGAAAUUAUUUCUCAACCAUAAUUUCAAAUUUUCAUAAUAAUUGAAAAAUCGUGUCAAAUUGCCAUCGUAGAAAAUCGAUUUUGUAUAUAAAAAAAAAUUUACUAUUCUUUAAUUCUUGCUUUUCUCUUAUGCUGUUUGUUAUGCAUUUUUUUUGUACCAUACACAUUUUUGCUUAGAAAGCCAAGCAACUGGGAACUUUUGGUAUGAAUUCAAAUUUAUAAAAUUAACAGUAAUAUAAACAGUUGUACUUAAAACAAAAUAAUAUUAACGAAAUAGCACAAGAAUUUUUGACGUUACGUACAGAGUACUUACCAAAAAAAUUGUGUUUUUCCAUAUAUAAUUAUAAUCACUAAAAUUUAAAAUAAACUCAGUCCAAUCGCAACCUUGUAAGAUUGAUUUCUUCUGAGGAAAUUUGGUUAUAGAAAAAACAUAAUUUUGCGUUUCUGAAAUCUCUCAAGAAUUCAUAAAACCCUUCAUAAUAUACAGGAUGCUCCGGGACUUGAUUAAAAAAAUUCUCGUACGAACUUUAAAUGCCUAUAAUUCAGCAACGAAGGGUCGUAUGAGAAAUUUUUUAUGCCAAUGUAUAAUUUUAACUCACUCUCGAAUUUUGUGCAUCAGUUCCGGAACUGAUCUUGUAUAACAAUAUAAUAAAAAAACGGGAAUUGUUCCCGUUGUGACGGCCGAACGCCGACUGACACCUGACGCUAGCAGAAGCUAAAAUGUAGUAAAAGAUCAACGCGCGCAUAGCAGCAAUCAACUUUACUUAUUAUUAUUUUGUUAUAAUUGAUCUUAAUAUCAAUUGAAUGAUUUUUUUUCUUUUAAACAAUAGUGUAUGUUAAAUCAGCUUUAGUUUUAUAUACAUAUAUAAUCGUCUCUCGAGAUAUACGUUGGAAAUAUUUUCUUUGUACGUUCUGCAUGUGCUAUGCGAAUCUAUGGAGAGUAGAAAUUUUUCCUUGUUAAAAAUUAUGAACACUCUUGGGGUAGUUGGUGCAAUUCGAAACGUAGGAAAGUAUGAAAGUUAAAUUAUUUAUUGAACUAGUUAAAAUGGAAACCAGUACCCCGGAGAAGAACUUUACAAAGCGAUUCAUUAAUAGAUGUAAAAAUUUAACACAAAAAUAUCUGUUUCGAGAUUUGUUUGCAGUCCAAAUAAAAGAAUUAGUUUUGUUUAUUUCUUCGAUGAUACUAUUGGAUUUUUUUAUCAUAUUUAAUGAUGGAUUUAAGCAAAAUAUUUACACUCAUUAAUGAAUCAUACUGUAUAUAAAGUAUAUAGAAUGAUAUUUCAUAGUAAAUUUAAUGGUUUUUUCAUUAAGCCAUUACUUGCGAUUAGAAUAAUAUUCAUUUACAACUAUCAGAAAGAAUAAUUUUUGUUAAAAUAUUCUCGUUAAUUGCCAUCGGAAUUUUACUUAUUCUAACUUGUUAUUUGUAUUGUCGUCGAUGUAACUGUGGUUGAUUUCUAUCUUCGUAGUUUUUCACGGCUGUGAUAUCGCCUCAAAAAUUAUUGCUGAUGUUUUAGAAACAAUCAUGCCAACUUUCCGAAAAAAUCAAAAGUUUGAUCCAUUAUAUGAAAGAUAUUUUGUGAAAAUUUCAUAAAAUUUAACUAGUUAUUGAGGAUGCCUCGGAGAUUCUGUACUGAGUGGGCAAUUAAAAACGGACCUCGGCCAUAUCUCAAGAAGGAAAUAACCUUUGUAAAGGGGUAGAUGUUACACAGUGCAAGAUCUGGUGAAUAAGGUGGGUGGUCUAGCACUGGGAUGCUGUACUUCGCUAAAAAACUUUUGAAGAGCAGUACGGACUGAGACACAAGUUUUAAACGUACUUUUGGAAUGUCAAAAUUUCCAUGUGAAAUAUUUUAAUUCCUAUAGAUUUAGCAAUCGCAGGAAAACUUAGCCGACGGUCAUUGAACAAGAUUUUUCAUCCGGAGAAACGUCUCCUAGGUCACCUUGAAAACGCUUAAACCAGUCAAAAACACUUGGACAUCACAAACAUUCAUUACCAUACAGUUUCUUGUGAAAUUUCAUCACAAUCCGUUGUUCUGUUUUUACAUAUAUCGUUUUUACGACAAAACAACAAAAAACAGGGCACGGCUACACUGGUUUAUCUACAGAUACGGUAGACAUCAAUUCAGAAAAACGUCUUCUAGGCCAUCUUGAAAACGCUUAAACCAGUCAAAAACACUUGGACAUCACAAACAUUCAUUGCCGUACAGUUUCUUGUGAAAUUUCAUCACAAUCCGUUGUUCUGUUUUUACAUAUAUCGUUUUUACGAUAAAACAACAAAAAACAGGGCACGGCUACACUGGUUUAUCUACAGAUACGGUAGACAUCAAUUCAGAAAAACGUCUUCUAGGCCAUCUUGAAAACGCUUAAACCAGUCAAAAACACUUGGACAUCACAAACAUUCAUUGCCGUACAGUUUCUUGUGAAAUUUCAUCACAAUCCGUUGUUCUGUUUUUACAUAUAUCGUUUUUACGACAAAACAACAAAAAACAGGGCACGGCUACACUGGUUUAUCUACAGAUAACGUCUUCUAGGCCAUCUUGAAAACGCUUAAACCAGUCAAAAACACUUGGACAUCACAAACAUUCAUUACCAUACAGUUUCUUGUGAAAUUUCAUCACAAUCCGUUGUUCUGUUUUUACAUAUAUCGUUUUUACGACAAAACAACAAAAAACAGGGCACGGCUACACUGGUUUAUCUACAGAUACGGUAGACAUCAAUUCAGAAAAACGUCUUCUAGGCCAUCUUGAAAACGCUUAAACCAGUCAAAAACACUUGGACAUCACAAACUGAAUGUCGUACACUUUUUUGAAUAAAUUAUAAGUUUCCGUUGCAGUUUUCCAGGUUUCAUUUGGAAUUUCAUCACAAUCCGUUGUUUUGUUUGUACAUAUAUCGUUUUUACGAUAAAACGACAAAAAACGGCCCCUAUACAAACGAAGGCCACGGCUACACUGGUUUGUCUGCAGGCACGGUAGACAUCGAUUCAGGCUGAACAGAUUAGUCAUUGGCACGUGCGUAUUUUGCUGUAGAAGCUACUCGUAUAAGCCUAGAUGUGAAUUGUAAAAAACUUUUUCCCAUAUUUGCAUUAUAAGGUACGAUACUUUAAAGAAAAAUAGGUUUUUCUGAAAAAUUUCUGAGGCAUACUUCGAAAUUAUACUGGGUUCAGGAUAAUUUCUUAUUUCAUCGAGUAGAAUUUGGAUUGAAAAACAUUUACGAAUUACAAAUUUGAACCAAAAAAUUCAAUAACUAAAUAAUUUAUCUGAAAUCUUAUAUGUGUAUAUUUUCUUUCUAUUUAUUAUUAUCUAGAAAAAACAAUUAUUAUACAUUGUUUUAUUCCACAAUAUCCAACGUGAAAACCAUUCAUGGCUAUGUUCUUGCGUGUCUUGUAGCAAAGGGCUAAAUUGCAUAAUAAUAAUAAUAAUAAUAAUAAUUUUUGUAUAUUAUAAAUUAUUACCUCGCAACCAAUAGUUGUGUUUCCAUGAAUAUACUUUUUCGUAUGAAAUUGAUUGACAUGAAUUUAACGCUUUGCAUGAUUCUCAGCUAAGUUGAUUGAUUCAAAAAUCUGAAAUUCGAUAUUUCUAAAGUCUAUAUCAAAAUUUCUUACACUGUUCAUAUAUUUUUUAAUUGAAGGAACAAAAUAUUUUUGUAUCGAAGCUAAAUACUACUGGAAAUGUACAAAUAUAUUCCUUAGUAUUUAGAUUUCGUAUUCGUAUCUUGAUAAAAGGAAUCGCAUAAUAAUAAACACCAACUACGCAAUAGAUAGAUACUAAUAUUACUUAUAAUCUUAUAGAGGCAACAAAAAAUGGUUUAAAAGUGAAAUCCAGCCACAGGAAUUAUAAAAUUUGGAAUAACUGAAUAUAGUUUUACAAUCAAACCAAAGGUUUUCCGAUUUUCUUUAAAAUAGCAGAAAGUUGUUUAUUUUUCUCUAGUACAUGAAGUAGUUCGUAUAGAUUUUAAAAAAAUUUACUGUAAACACGUGGAAAUACUGAAAAUUUCUUUUUUGUAGCCUAUGGUUCAUCAUCUAGUCAUACGCGUAGUAAAUAUCCUAUUUUCCAUAUUUGUUAAGGCGGUAAGAUUUUGGAUCCUUGUACAUUUUCAUCAGUUUUUGACGUACAGAUCUUCAACUACAACAUUUUAACCUCAUAUUACUUGUAAACAUUCUCAAAAUCUACUACAUUAUCAUCUUAAACUGACAGAUUUUUUUAUCAGUUUGAAACUCAACUUUUUCUCAUCAACGAAAUAAGAUUUUUCUGUUGUCCAACUAUUUUACGAUCAAGUUCUUCGAGUUUGAAGUACUGUACAACGUCUAUCUUGAAAAUAGGAUAGUCGAAACCAGUUUUCACAGACCAGAAACCUUAUAAUAAUGAGUCAUUCAACAGCGCAACAAAAAGCUAAUGACUAUCAAAUAUCAAAUAACGAAAUUUUUUCCAAAUUCACUGAAAACGUUCACUAUUGAUGGCUGCCAAACAAUCACUAAACAACGUGGCGUCUUCAAACUCUAUUUUUCAAGCAACUACCGCCAUCUCCGGGUCAGGCCAGGUACUUUUAGUACCAUCCUCGUAUCUUCCUCCCCUUUUCCGAUUCCAAUGUUUGUUUACGUUUGAUUGACCCUCGUACUUUUCGAAAAAUUAAUUAUACUUGAAAAAAAAUCUAAAUAUCGAUAGUUCCAGUUACUUUUCUCGAGUUAUUCCAAGUUUUUAAUACGUUCUUUUAUUUAUAUUGUGGAUAAUUAAUAUACUGAUCAUUUUUUGUACCUAAAUCGUCAUUAUUUAAGUCUCUUUAGAUUGAAAAUUAGUUUUUGAAACGUAAAAUCAACGAAAACUUUAAUUUAUACUAAUAAUUAUAUAUAAAUAAUAUUCUGUGAUAUUCCGUUGUAGAAAUAACUUUAAAUCGGACUAUGUGCAACGACGGGCAUUGAAAACAAUGAUUUGUUAUUCAUUUUUUAGGUGGUGUUUAUUAUAUCAAAGCUAAAUACAGAAAAAUACGUUCUGUAUUUUGUUUCGAUGUUUUGUUUGAUGCUAAUUUCUUUAUGCACCGUUUGUUUUAUUUUUUUCUAUACUUCUGCGCUCGCUACACUUUGCGCCACUGCCGAUUUCUACAUCCCAUACGGCCCUGCUGUCAACUUAAUAUUUUGGUACAGCAGCAAAUCUACGGAAGGAAGUUAUUAGAAAUAAAAUCCGAGCAAUUGGAAAAAUGGCCAGAGUAUUUUCUGUCUUAAGAGAGGAAAGCGAGUCUGU